rnacentral:rRNA from 1 species
ACCUCAGUAACGGCGAGUGAAGCGGUAACAGCUCAAAUUUGAAAUCUGGGCCUUUCAGGCUCCGAGUUGUAAUUUGUAGAAGAUGCUUCGGGUGCGGCUCCGGUCUAAGUUCCUUGGAACAGGACGUCAUAGAGGGUGAGAAUCCCGUAUGUGAUCGGGGGCCUGCGCCCGUGUGAAGCUCUUUCGACGAGUCGAGUUGUUUGGGAAUGCAGCUCAAAAUGGGUGGUAAAUUUCAUCUAAAGCUAAAUAUUGGCCAGAGACCGAUAGCGCACAAGUAGAGUGAUCGAAAGAUGAAAAGCACUUUGGAAAGAGAGUUAAACAGUACGUGAAAUUGUUGAAAGGGAAGCGCUUGCAACCAGACUUGCGCGGGGCCGAUCAUCCGGGGUUCUCCCCGGUGCACUCGGCCCCGCUCAGGCCAGCAUCGGUUUCGGUGGCGGGACAAAGGCUGCGGGAAUGUGGCUCCCCUCGGGGAGUGUUAUAGCCCGCGGUGCAAUGCCGCCUACCGGGACCGAGGACCGCGCUUCGGCUAGGAUGCUGGCGUAAUGGUUGUAAGCGACCCGUCUUGAAACACGGACCAAGGAGUCUAACAUCUAUGCGAGUGUUUGGGUGUCAAACCCAUACGCGUAAUGAAAGUGAACGGAGGUGAGAACCCUUAAGGGUGCAUCAUCGACCGAUCCUGAUGUCUUCGGAUGGAUUUGAGUAAGAGCAUAGCUGUUGGGACCCGAAAGAUGGUGAACUAUGCCUGAAUAGGGUGAAGCCAGAGGAAACUCUGGUGGAGGCUCGCAGCGGUUCUGACGUGCAAAUCGAUCGUCAAAUUUGGGUAUAGGGGCGAAAGACUAAUCGAACCAUU